rnacentral:lncRNA from 1 species
AGCUUUGAGAAAAUGUGUUAAAUAUCAGUAAAGGGCAGGAACACACAUGGCUAGCUUUACAAUAGCAAUCUAAACAUACACAAAGGCAAACAUUGAGUAAAAUGCUAGGGAAAGAUGGCACUUUGGGGGCCUACUGCAGUUUUCCUUAUUGCACAUAAAGGUUGUGGAUAACUCCAAGUCUUUAAUUUUUCACAGUUAUACUUUAAUGUCAUUUUAUAUAACGUUUAUUUAUAUAACAUACUAUAAUGUUAAUUUUAUAAAACCACAGUUUGCUACUGUUGAAUGGAAAUAGAAGACAAAAUUCUCCCCAAUUACACUAUGUAAGCUCUCUAUAAAAAGUUCCCUAGAAGGUCACAUCAUUCCAUGUUAAAUUCGUCCUAUUCUAUUUUAAAAAUUGCUUUUCAGCUAUUAAAUGAAUCUUUAUGGCCUUCUCAUUUAACCAUUUUCAUGGACAUAGUACAACUUUCCAAGUAAAAAGUACCAGAUGUAUUUUAUGUGAAAAACAAAAGGACAACUUAGGAGGAGGUGGCCCUACUAUGAAGUCACACUUUGAACGAUCAAUUUCAGUGGUAAAUUCCCAAUCCAUAGACUUAACACCCACACAACUGAAAAUCAUCCCUCUGCUUCUCCAAAGCCCACAAUUGGAAUAAUCACAACACAAGUCAGCCCCUAAAUGUCCAUGCAGUUAAGUCAUCCGGUAACACCUGAACUGUAGCCUUUUUUAAGUGCUUGAGAAAGCAGAUGUUGAGGUUUCCAUGCAGUUAAGUCAUCCGGUAACACCUGAACUGUAGCCUUUUUUAAGUGCUUGAGAAAGCAGAUGUUGAGGUUUCCAUGCUGUUUACAAGUCCUUUUCUAUCUGAGUUCCUCCAACAUAUACAGGCCCAGACAAUUUCCCACUGGCCAAGACUUGACUGUGACACUUGGUGAUUCUGUUAAGCCUUUUGAAAGGUGGUCAUCAGAAGGAGAAGGUGACUUCUGCUGUGUGCUCUCCUGUCUGCUUUGGACCUUUUCAAAGGGCAGCACAGCAGGCAGCCCUUCCUUCUCAUCUUCUCCAAGGCUCAGGUAGCAGAAAACCGGCUGCCUGUGUGUUCCAUAUGGGCCACGACUAUAGUAUACCCUGCUUACAAAAAUAAGACUAACAUCAAAAACUUUGGUUUUGCUCUUUACAAUUUUUGCUAGCACUGGGUGACAAGAUGUGUUUAAUUUUUUUAAAAUGUCUAUGAAAAUUGACACUGGAAAAAACUGUUUAUCUCUAGGUCUUGUUUUGAAAGGAUUGUUGAUGAGUCUACUUGCUUUUCCUAGUUAAGACACUAGCAAUGGUUUCUACAGUAUUUCUCUAUAUGUUGUUUUCAGGUUUUAGAAAGGGGGAUGAUCUUUUCAGGUAUCAAAGUGGUAAAAGCAGUAUUCAGAUGGGUUGUUUCUAAACUACAACUCUUGGCCACUAGAUUCCUUUGACUUACUGUAUCAGAAUGUAGCAGCCGACACUGGCAAUCCAGAGUGUCAGUUAAAGAACAACAGAAUAGCUCAGAACUCAAUGAUACCAGUCUAAUGUAUAUGAAAGACUUGUUCCUGAACUAAUUAAUCUAUAGAAUCAACAUCAAAAGGCAGACAAGAAACUUGUCAAGUUCCCCACUUUUGAAGUGGAAUAAGAAGUCAUAUACUUGUGAGAUCAGCACGCUGACUUUCUAGCAGCCCUCAUUGCAGAUAAUCUUUCACAACAGAUGGUAAAAUCAGCUUUCUGAUACACUCUUAGAACUCACAACGGGUGCACAGUAGGUUUCCAAGUGGGUGAUUUUCACCUCUGAUGAGAUGCUCUAACACCCUGCCACUGUUUUUCCCCCUAAGUGCAUCAGUGGUGUUUCUACAUUUGGAAAUUACUUGUUCACAUUAAACAUCUGGUAUGAUUACAUUAACUUCUACUGCAGACAAGGACAGGGAGAGAUAGGAUGAUGGGAUGACGUCAAACAGACCAACAGACCUCUAUUUUGGAAGGAACUGUUAGUUCUUUGUCCUAGACCGAAUCGUUCAUGGAUAGCUGAGAUACCCUUUUGCAUGUUUUCUAAAGAGAUUCCAUUUCUCAGCCAAGCCACAGAGGACAUUUUCGGGUCUAGAGAACACAGCCUGAAGAGAUCCUUGCUGUUUGCUUGAUGAAACAUUUGACGUCGCAGUGUGAUUUCUGCCUUCCAGGCAUCAAUGCUUAUUUGUCUGAUCACCCCAGUAACCACCCUGGAUGCUCGGAUCCAUAUGCCCUUCCUGUGCUUGUGUCCUAGGAAGAAAUGUGGCCUUAUUUAAAUUCCAAAUUUUCUUCCCUAGGAGAGAAAGUUCAGGUUUCUGGUAGUUCUCAAAAAGUGUACUAAAAGGAAUAGCAGCUUUCAUCUUCUCUCUGUCAGGGCUAUACAAAAGUGUGCAUCUCCUUAAUUACCUGCUACGGAAACCACCACCAUCACCAUGUGAUAGCAAAGGACCACAACCUUCUACUUUGCUCCAGCAGUAAAUGGGCCCACCCUUAUUCUGAGGAAUCCAGUGUGGACUCAGGCAUGAGGAUAGGUGAAGGAAAAGAAAAUCUGACUCCAGAGGGGACUAUUAAUUUAAUUCCAGGUGAAAUUAAAAAAAAAAACAAAACAGCUCCCAGAAACCUUCAUGCUUGAUUAGUCAGCAGCUCAGUUAAGACAAUACCUUCCCUUUAUUCCCCACAAGUGGGAACCAAGAUGACAGGUUUUUAGUUCUCCCCAUACAUACCCCAAGUCACCCUUCUCUUUCCUCGAAGGCUCCAAGGUUUUCGUGAUCUUUUCAGCUGUACUUUAUGGAGUAUGUUCUUGAGUUCUGCAAAGAUUAGCAUCAAACUCUCUCACAGCUGCCCUGUCUGUAUUACUGAUCAAUACUCAGUUCGUUUCACAUGACUAACAAUUUAAAAAAACACCUUCAUCUGCUGGGCCAUUCUUUAAAAUCAGAUUCCAAAUAGUCUAGAGGUCUGCUGCGAGCUCUAGACUAAAGGCUCUUGUCAAUCCUGGCUGCACAUCAAGAACACUCCUGAGGUUCCAAACAAAGCAUGGAUUCCAGGUCCCACCUGAAGCUACUGAAUCUGAAUCUCUGAGGGGAGGGCCCUUGCACUGAUUUAAAAACAAAAACUGGCCAGAUGAUCCUAAUUCACAGCCAGGGUUGAGAACCUCUGCUCUAGAACAUCGGACUCUGCUGAACUGUCGUCCCCACCAACCCAGAACAAAUACGUGUAUAAGAUGGACUUGGGUUUACUCUCUUGGAAGAACUUUGUUUAUUUGGAUGUACCAUUACUUAGCAGUUUCAAUCUGAUCUUAUGCCAGACUGGCAGCAGAUAGUUGGCCUUGUGCUGAAUGAUGCCUGACACGGCAUAGGCAAAAUGCUUCUAGAUGUGGAACCACUUGACGAAUGGAUUCACAUUCCCAGGACCCCUGGUAAGGUCAGGGUUAUUCUCCACAUCUUACAAACAAAAAUUAGGACCAAAGGUCAAAAAUUAGGACCAAAGUGCCUUACUUUGAUUCACCAAAUAUUUGUAAUCAAAUAAGGACUUAGAACACUGGAAAGCAGUUCUGAUUCCAAAUGGCUGACAGCUCGGGGUUAGUGACAAAGGCAAGAAAGGGAGACCAGCCUGCAUUUCCAGCUUCCUAACACACAAAGAAAGGCCGGGGUAGGGUUACUGGGCAAAUGCUGCAACUAGGUUCUGGGCCCUCUCUUCCCUGGGUAGGCCUUCUGGGUGGGCCUCCUGCCCUAUACAAACCAUCCCCAACCCACCUUGUUUACAUUGGAACUACACUGUCGUAGACAGCAAUUCAGGGAAGAGGACAAGCCAUAAUUAGGAAUUCCUCCCUGUUUCCCCUGUCAUCUCCACACAGGAAAACCCUGAUGGGAAGCCCACCCCUCUAGUUUUGGUCUUGGCAAUCUACAUUUCCUUGUAUGUGAGUAGAUCAGAAUCAAAUGUUUGCAGUGAAGACUACAAGACCCUUUGGGGAUAAACACAACACUCUAUGAAUUGAACUAAGACUAGGAAGGGAAACUGGGUGGUUAUUUUUCUUCCCUAAGAGAGUCAUUUCUUGUAAUCUUGCAAAAGCUUUUAAAAAAAACCCAAAAUAAUGGCCAGGGGCGGUGGCUCACGCCUGUAAUCCCAGCACUUUGGGAGGCAGAGGCGGGUGGAUCACGAGGUCAGCAGAUCGAGACCAUCCUGCCCAACAUGGUGAAACUCUGUCUCUACUAAAAAUAUUAAAAAAUUAGCUGGGUGUGGUGGCAUGCGCCUGUAAUCCCAGCUACUCGGGAGGCUGAGGUAGGAGAAUCGCUUGAACCCAGGAGGUGGAGAUUGCAGUGAGCCGAGGUCAUGCCACUGCACUCCAGCCUGGGGGAUAGAGCGAGACUCCAUCUAAAAACAAAACAAAACAAAACAAAAAACAAACAACAACACAACAACAAAGCCUUGAGGUGAACAAAGAACCAUCACCAGGGUGUGUCUGUUAGUUUUUUCCCUCCAAAAUUAAGUAAGCAAUAUAAGAUAAGCAAAGCUUUAUAAAGACCCAACCAAAGACCCAAGCAGCCUAUCUCUCCAUCUCUGCAAAACAAAAACAAAAAUGAAAACAAAACAAGCCUUGCCUUUUAGAUUUAUAUGGCAUGACUGGUCAUUACUAAGAUAACUCUGCUAAAUAAAAAAUCCUGUGCUGGUUCUGGACUCCAGCACACAUAUAAUACAGGCCUCUGCCAGGCCUGGUAGCUGCUGUCUGCAACCUCACCCCAGGAUAUAAGAACUUCCCUUCCAGGGGCUAUGAAAGCUCUUUCUCUGGCUGUGGGGUGUAGGUCUUAUUCUUAAGUCCUUCACUAGCCUAGUUGACCCUGAGGGCUCAUGGGUUUGGGUAGGUUGUUUAGCAUUUUUCAAACUUCCAAAGCCCAUGGAUGACCAUAAAAUCAAAAUGGACUUUAUUGUAGAUAAAAAGGAAAGAGGAGAAUAAAAAUCAUUCAACUGUAUUUUUUUUU